ACGCUCGUCCGGGAGACGGGCCGCUCCGAAGGCUGCGAGCCCACCUCGGACAGCUCGGCCAACCAUAGAGAAAGUAAAAUAAGAGAGGUGGCAAUCAUAUGGGCGUUCUUGUCACCGCGUUACGCAGGUUGCGCUGCAACUGACUGACCGGCGACUGACGGCACUCAAAUUUCGAGUUUUUGGCCAAGAAGUUCUGAGCAUGUGCGAAACGUGCAGGACAUAGUGAAAAUAAAAUAAGGAUCGGUUAAAUCAGUUCUGUCUUUUUUCAACUUGCAGAACAACGCAACUGGAUAUUAUUCUUGUAUUGCUAAGUUGACUUUGCUAAAUGAAAUUAUCCUAAGAAUGAAAUUUAACCUUAUUUUAACCACGUUUUCGAUUGAUCGGUCGAUUUAAAAUAAUUUCAUAUUUCUAGUACCUGUACGGUAUUAAUACCUACAAAUAACAUUUGCUGUCGAGACUUCAGCAUGGAACAGAAUCCUGCAGCACAUAAGUAGAAGACUUCUGGUGGGGAUUCCUACUUCUAUAGGGCACAAGUUUAUCUACCCAGUUUAUCCUUUUGGGAUUCUUUGGAAGACAAUUUGUGUUUUUUUACUUAAUAAAUGUUAUUUCAUUUUGA